rnacentral:lncRNA from 1 species
GAACAAAUGAGUUUGGAGCAGAAAUUUGGGUGGAAAAUGCAGGAAAGACCAAAUGAAGAAUGAAAGGCUGCUCGUCCUCCAACCCCCCAUGCUGAAGUCCCCAGACACCUCCUGGAGAGCUGGUCUCCAGGCACAGCUGGAUGGAGACCCCAGGAAUGCUGGACUGAGAUGGGAAGCAAUGAAGUGCAAAAAUCCAGCUUUGCCCCAGGCUCUGUUGGAUGUGAUGAUGGAGCUGGAAGCCGAGGCAGACACCGGCGGAGCGCAGGCGGAGGGAAUCUGGCUGGAAAACAAAGCCCAGUUUUGUCAUUUCAUGCCUCUUAAAAGUCCCACUCCAUGCAGGAAAAAUGCGAGUUAAUUCACAUUAAACAGGACGAGUGGAGUGAAAAAUAAACAUGCAAAAAUAAAUAGCA